rnacentral:rRNA from 1 species
GACGAACGCUGGCGGCGUGCCUAACACAUGCAAGUCGAGCGAGGGACUUCGGUCCCUAGCGGCGGACGGGUGAGUAACACGUGGGCAACCUGCCUCAUAGAGGGGGAUAGCCUCCCGAAAGGGAGAUUAAUACCGCAUAACAUCAUGCUUUCGCAUGGAAGUAUGAUUAAAGGAGCAAUCCGCUAUGAGAUGGGCCCGCGGCGCAUUAGCUAGUUGGUGAGGUAACGGCUCACCAAGGCGACGAUGCGUAGCCGACCUGAGAGGGUGAUCGGCCACAUUGGAACUGAGACACGGUCCAGACUCCUACGGGAGGCAGCAGUGGGGAAUAUUGCACAAUGGGCGAAAGCCUGAUGCAGCAACGCCGCGUGAGUGAAGAAGGCCUUCGGGUUGUAAAGCUCUGUCUUUUGGGACGAUAAUGACGGUACCAAAGGAGGAAGCCACGGCUAACUACGUGCCAGCAGCCGCGGUAAUACGUAGGUGGCAAGCGUUGUCCGGAUUUACUGGGCGUAAAGGAUGCGUAGGUGGAUAUUUAAGUGGGAUGUGAAAUACCCGGGCUCAACUUGGGUGCUGCAUUCCAAACUGGAUAUCUAGAGUGCAGGAGAGGAAAGUGGAAUUCCUAGUGUAGCAGUGAAAUGCGUAGAUAUUAGGAGGAACACCAGUGGCGAAGGCGACUUUCUGGACUGUAACUGACACUGAGGCAUGAAAGCGUGGGGAGCAAACAGGAUUAGAUACCCUGGUAGUCCACGCCGUAAACGAUGGGUACUAGGUGUAGGAGGGUCGAACCUUCUGUGCCGUCGUUAACACAUUAAGUA